GGGGAUAACUAUUGGAAACGAUAGCUAAUACCGCAUAAUAGUAGAUGUUGCAUGACAUUUGCUUAAAAGGUGCAAUUGCAUCACUACCAGAUGGGCCUGCGUUGUAUUAGCUAGUUGGUGGGGUAACGGCUCACCAAGGCGACGAUACAUAGCCGACCUGAGAGGGUGAUCGGCCACACUGGGACUGAGACACGGCCCAGACUCCUACGGGAGGCAGCAGUAGGGAAUCUUCCGCAAUGGGCGAAAGCCUGACGGAGCAACGCCGCGUGAGUGAUGAAGGUCUUCGGAUCGUAAAACUCUGUUAUUAGGGAAGAACAAAUGUGUAAGUAACUAUGCACGUCUUGACGGUACCUAAUCAGGAAGCCACGGCUAACUACGUGCCAGCAGCCGCGGUAAUACGUAGGUGGCAAGCGUUAUCCGGAAUUAUUGGGCGUAAAGCGCGCGUAGGCGGUUUUUUAAGUCUGAUGUGAAAGCCCACGGCUCAACCGUGGAGGGUCAUUGGAAACUGGAAAACUUGAGUGCAGAAGAGGAAAGUGGAAUUCCAUGUGUAGCGGUGAAAUGUGCAGAGAU
rnacentral:rRNA from 1 species